UACGGAGGGUGCAAGCGUUAUCCGGAUUCACUGGGUUUAAAGGGUGCGUAGGUGGGCAGGUAAGUCAGUGGUGAAAUCUCGGGGCUCAACCCCGAAACUGCAUUCGAUACUGCGUGGCUCGAGUACUGGAGAGGAGACUGGAAUUUACGGUGUAGCAGUGAAAUGCGUAGAUAUCGGAAGGAACGCCGGUGGCGAAAGCGAUCGACUGGACCUUUUCUGACGCUGAGGCGCGAAAGCCAGGGGAGCAAACGGG
rnacentral:rRNA from 1 species